AUCCAGCAAAGAGAGAAACUCCUUCCAUAGAGAGGGCGAGAGAGAGUCCUUCGAUAAAGGACUGUUCUGUUCGAGCUAAUCGAUUAGAGAGAGAAAGUUUAGAGAGAUAUAGAAGGAUACCUAAUUACAAAUAGAGAUUGCGUUAGAAGGUUACUCGCCGGAAUUUUACGUGGAAUCGCUGGAAUUGGGUGCGAUCUAGCCGGAAAAAGUAUCUACGGUCACCGGGAUAGGUUUGAUCUUUUGAGUUUGAAAUAAGAAGAUAAAAGGAAAAAAGAAGCAAAGAUGGUGAAUUCUAUGGUUGAACGGGCCACCAGCGACAUGUUGAUCGGGCCUGACUGGGCCAUGAACAUCGAGAUCUGUGAUAUGUGUAAUCACGACCCUGCAAUAGCAAAGGAUGUUGUUAAAGGUAUAAAGAAGCGCAUCGGAAGUAAGAAUUCGAAAGUUCAACUUCUUGCACUAACACUAUUGGAAACCAUUGUAAAGAAUUGUGGGGACAUUGUCCAUAUGCACGUUGCAGAGAAAGAUGUUCUACAUGAGAUGGUGAAGAUAGUGAAGAAAAAGCCUGAAUUUCAUGUCAAACAGAAGAUACUGAUUCUAAUAGACACCUGGCAAGAAGCUUUUGGUGGAGCAAGGGCAAGAUAUCCACAAUAUUAUGCUGCAUAUCAAGAGUUGUUGCGUGCUGGGGCUGUGUUCCCUCAGAGAUCUGAGAGGUCUGCGCCUGUAUUUACACCUACUCAGACACAACCUUUGACAUCUUAUCCUCAAAGUCUGCGGAAUAAUGAGAAUCGGCUAGAGGCAGCAGAGUCUUCUGCAGAGUCUGAGUUCCCAACAUUGAGCUUGACAGAAAUUCAGAAUGCGCGGGGUAUCAUGGAUGUCCUUGCAGAGAUGUUAAGUGCAUUAGAUCCAGGAAACAAAGUGGGACUUAGGCAGGAGGUUAUUAUUGACUUGGUGGAACAAUGCCGUACAUACAAGCAAAGAGUUAGUACAUCUUGUUAAUUCAACUGCGGAUGAAUCAUUGCUAUGCCAAGGGCUUGCAUUAAAUGAUGAUUUGCAGCGUGUACUUGCAAAGCAUGAGGCCAUUGCUUCAGGAACUCGUGCUCCUACUGCACCUGAGAAACCAAAGCCUGAAUCAGGUGGAGCACUUGUGGAUGUUGGUGGUCCGCUAGUUGAUACCGGAGGCAACAACCAAAAACCUGUUGACGGAUCUGCUUCAACUUCUGGUGUAAUGAAUCAAUUGUUACUCCCUGCACCUCCUGCAACUAAUGGUCCAACUACUUCAGCAUCUGCCAAUCCAAAAAUGGACUUGUUGAGCGGGGAUGACUUUAGCUCACCAAAGGCUGAUAAUUCACUGGCUCUUGUUCCUGUGGGAGA
rnacentral:misc_RNA from 1 species